rnacentral:rRNA from 1 species
AGUUAAGAAAAUGUAAGUGUGCUAAUACCACAUUUAUUUGACGAAGGCUCCAAAGGAAGCCACGGCUAACUCUGUGCCAGCAGCCGCGGUAAUACAGAGGUGGCAAGCGUUGUUCGGAGUUAUUGGGCGUAAAGAGCACGUAGGUGGGUUUGUAAGUCAGAUGUGAAAGCCUUCUGUUCAACGGAAGAAUUGCAUCUGAAACUGCGAGUCUUGAGUGUAGGAGGGGAGAAUGGAACUUCUGGUGGAGCGGUGAAAUGCGUAGAUAUCAGGAGGAACGCCGGCGGCGAAAGCGAUUCUCUGGCCUAUUACUGACGCUCAGUGUGCGAAAGCUAGGGGAGCAAACGGGAUUAGAUACCCCGGUAGUCCUAGCCGUAAACGAUGGGCACUAAGUAGAGGGAAUUACCGAUGUUCUCUCUGCCGUAGCUAACGCAUUAAGUGCCCCGCCUGGGGAGUACGGCCGCAAGGCUAAAACUCAAAAGAAUUGACGGGGGCUCGCACAAGCGGUGGAGCAUGUGGCUUAAUUCGAUGCAACGCGAAGAACCUUACCGGGGCUUGACAUGGUAGAAGUAGGAACCCGAAAGGGUAACGAACGGUAUCCAGUCCGUAACUAUCACAGGUGUUGCAUGGCUGUCGUCAGCUCGUGUCGUGAGACGUUGGGUUAAGUCCCCUAACGAGCGAAACCCUUGUUUUUAGUUACCAGCGGGUUGUGCCGGGUACUCUAGAAAGACYSCCGUCGUCAAGACGGAGGAAGGUGGGGAUGACGUCAAGUCAUCAUGGCCCUUAUGCCCCGGGCUGCACACGUGCUACAAUGGUCGGUACAAACGGAAGCGAAGCCGAGAGGUGAAGCGAAUCCUAAAAAGCCGAUCUCAGUUCGGAUUGGAGGCUGAAAUUCGCCUCCA